GUUAUCGUGUGAUUGUUUGGAGUUUUCAGCCAUCCGAUGCCACAAGAAUCUGGCCAGCCAGCAGAGGUCUGCUUUUGGCUGCUAUGACGCCUGCUACUUGACACUCCCGUCAGAUUUAUCUCCGCUCUUGUAAAACAGCAUGCGACUUGUUCUCUUCGUCCAGAAAGAUAUGACUGACUCAGAGAUGGAGGACGAAUUCUGAUUCAAGUUGCGGCAAGCGGGUGAAAGUAUUCCCUCCUUGUAUCCACGUGUCACAGCCACUGCAGCAGCUCCAGCUGUGGCCCAUGUUGGUUUAUCGGCACUCCAAGAAUUUCCCAUGUGCUACAAAAACAACCGAGGAGACUGAAUUACUGCAUGUGCUCUUUAGUUUAGAUUUGGCUAAUGCAUGUCAGCCAAGAAAAUCCUCGCUCACACGAACAGAGGAAAGCAGAGGGUGCCAAGACAAUCUGAGGCGGAGGAGACGGCAGGUUGGUGUCGGUGACAGAUGGGAUGGAGAGGCUGACUUCUUUAUUUUAAGGACGGUAUCUUCUAUCUCUUCCUGCCAGCCUGUCGGGUCCCUCUUCUAUCGGUGCCUCCGGUGUUUUACGGGUGGGACAAUCUUUCCCCUUGUGCAGUUGCUAGGAAGUCUGAUGCAUGUUUACAGCACACAGUGUGACAGGAGAAGGCGCAGACAUAUAAAACAAAUACAUUCGUGGUGUUUUCCAUAUGCACAAAUACUACCACAGGCACAGGCUUGCAACCUCGCAUAGCAGCUCUGAAUUCCGGGAUUUGGGGGAGAGAAAGAGGUGGAAAGGAUGGAUGAGUAACAUCCUCCACUCGAGUAAUAAAUGUAUCCCUCAGAUACUCAGUGACAUAAUUAAGGUAGUGUUGAUGUUCCUGGGAAAAAGGAAGAUUUAAAAAUCUGCCUGGACUCUGGCUUCAAAAAAAUCCUCUGAAUCAUAUUAUGUAAUAUUUGUCUAGACAUCCAUGAUUUGGUUUCAAGACAGAAAAACAGAGCUUUUUUUAAUUCAUACUUCAUUUGCAGGUGUUCAUUAGCCCACUGGAUAACAGAAUACGUUUAAUUAAUCCUGAUAUGGAAAUUAAAAUAGUUUAUUUAUCAAUAACACUUUGCAAUUCCAGCACAGAGAGGAAAUGUCUUAAAGGGUCAUUGAAGUUAAUUACAACUUGGAUCUCAUUUUGGUUAUCAUUCCUCCUGGUAAUAAUCAUAUUUUACUCACCAAGUUCAUUAAUGACAUCUGGGAAUGCAAUGAAAUAGCUAAAACAAAACUGAACAGGUGAUAAACAUGAGCAGUCAAGUUUGAAAGAAUCCCACAGGUAAGACAAACUUACUAGUCAUUUUUCCAGGCAAAAUACUAACUGCAGCUCAUUCUCAUUCCCAGGGUGUCACAUAUGGCAGCGUGGUCAGUGGCUGCAGCAUCAGAUCCUAAUGCAAAAGUCACCAUCAAGCGUCUGUUUGAGAUGUACCAGGUUUUCAGCUAACUGUAAUGUAAACCCCUCUGUGGUGAUAGUGCUUUAUAAAGAGCAAGAUAGUCUGUGUAGGGCAGGAGGGAGUGGUGGUGGAUGGUUCAAACAAACACAGGACUUUUACCCAGGAGACAAACCCGGUCUCACUCCAAGUUGUUGAAAUCUGACGCUUGGGCAGUGACUUGCGACGAAUAAAGCCACCCUUUAACAUUGGCAUGAUAUGUGGCUAUUAUAUUUUAAUGGCGCCCAGGGGCGUCAGGAGGAA